GCCUGCCAGAAGAGUUGACGGUAAAGUGAGCCCCACCAUCGCAAGGUGGUGAUUGCUGUAACUCCUUUGACGUGAAGGCGUACUGGACGCGGGUUCGAUUCCCGCCACCUCCACCAGAUGACGCGUUUGGCAGAAGCGCCAUCUGAUGGGGGUGUCCCGGUUUCGACAGGGCGAGAUAGCGAAGAAGGCAGCAGGAAAGGUGACCGACCUAACCGGCACAAAUCCGUAACUGCAAAUGAUGGCAGCUACACCUUGAGAGCUAACGGCUAACAUCCGGUUUUGCUUCUCCGAGUUGCCGCCCCA
rnacentral:tmRNA from 1 species